GUAAAGGUUGUCUCUGGAAACCCAAUUAGUGAAGAAAACCUCAAAUCACUUGCAACCAAGGACCCCAAAAUUAACCUUUUCUCCUUAAAAAUUCCCUUCCCUGCACACUCCCACAAGCAGAGUCAGUUCAUCAAUCUCUUUAUGUAAAUAGCAGUCAAGAAGCCAGGGAGGAGGUCUGUUUAUUAUUUUUGAUCCUGUUUUGCUUCUGGCAAAAUUUCACAAACACCAGAAGUUGGCAGAACAUUGAUACUUUUUUCUGACUGGCUACUGUUCACUAGCUACAAGUGCAGAAUACAACUGUAACUAUUCUGGUCUACGGGCCUCAGCUAUGACUGAGGACAGAACUGUAAAAUCUGGAAGAAAAAAAUCUCCACCCAAGACUUCUCUCUGAAAAUGUGGACCCUCCUUUAAUACACACUUUUCUCUCACUAGAGGAUGGCUGAGUUCCAGAUCCACUGUCUAGAGAACAACACAGGUCUUACCCAAUUCCCACCUCACUCCUUGUACUCCCUAGUGUCAGAAAAGGUCCACUGUGAAGUCACAAGAGGCCCUGAGCUCUGUGGGCCCCAGGUGCCCCGGGAAAACUUGGGGGAGAAUGGGCAUCCCACCCCAGCACUUUCUAGGAAGAAGGGCAGCAUUUUGAAGGGCUGGAAGUAGAGGAAGGAGGUUGCGGGUAGAAGACUCCAUACUUUCUGUGACGCCUAUUCCUUAGUCAGAGGCAUGGCUUGCCUGGGCCUCUGGGUGCAGCUGCACAGAUUCAAGCAGCCUGAAGGAAAGGUGACUGACAGCUAAUGAUCUGAAAAGAACUUGUCUCAACUCAACGUCAUUCCUGGCAUUAUCGAACAAAGCAAUAAACCUCACAGAAUGGAAGCUACAGUGUCCAGGGCCAGCUCUGCUAAGGUAACCAAAGACAGAGAAGGAGGCAAAAGUGACAGAAGAAACUCAUGGGAAACCAACAGAAAUAUAAUGGCUUUGGCAGAAAUGCAAUUAUCAAUUGGGAGCUUGUGAUGAAUGUUUUCUCAGUAUCCUAUGCUGAAAACAGGUAGAUACUAAUAUCGAUCUUCAAGGGAGGGCUGUUGAGUAUUGAAUAAGACAAAAACAUGGAAGCAAUCAGCACCAUGCUGGAAUCAAGGCUAUCUGUAAUCACAGGGCUAUUUGAAAAAGAGAAGAAAAGGUGUCUUGAAAUUCAACCAACAUGUUUCAAUUAUUUGCUCCUAAGAACAACAGAAGUUUCAACAUUCUGCCAACAGAGUAACUCCUGGAAGAUUGGCACAGAAGAAGGCACAAGGAGAGCCUUUAUAUAACCAAAGAUAUUUUUGGACCAUGAAUUCAGAAAUUCUCGGAGCCACCCAUCAGUGCCUGAGCUUCAGUGAGUCCAUAUCCCAUGUCACCCACGGCAAAGGAGACUCUAAGACUUCUGAAGAGUUUCUUGCUUCUUUCCUGUGGGGCAGUGACUCCACUUCCCAGCAGUAAUGGAAUAUCCUGAAUUAGCUACAUUAAUGUUAGAACCAUUUGGACCUCACCCAGGACUUCAACUACAUUAUGCUAAAGUUACAGAACCCAAAUUUGGCAACUGUCUGCAUCUGAACAACAGAAGUUUCAACAUUCUGCCAACAGAGUAACUCCUGGACGAUUGGCACAGAAGAAGGCACAAGGCAAAUACCCAUCUCUGUACACCCUGUGCUACUGUGUCAUGUGCUGCUCCAGGCAACUCCAAUGGAUUGGCCACCCUGGCCAAUGUGUUCUAGUAUGUUACGUUUAUGUUCCCCUGCUUUCUACAAUCCUGUUCAAAGAGUUGCUGACUUAACCACAGAGAGGAUUCCAGAACCUGAGACACAGAAUAAACUUGAGCAAUCAUAGUCCAUCCACUUCAUUGUCUCAUCAAAAACCAAAGGUCCAGUGAAGCUCUGGAACUCAACGCUGUAAAGGAGCGAAGGAGCUUCUAUACAGAGCCUGGAUGCCUGUCUCCUUAUCCUACUUCAGUGGACUUGACUGCAAUCCGGAUUAUGCUGUUUUCUAAGCAUU
rnacentral:lncRNA from 1 species